AAAAAAAAAAAAAAAAAAAAAAAAAGAAAAACUUGUAGUGAGGUGCUGAUACAUUUUGUCCAAGGUCCCACCUUCUUUUCUUACUUGAAUUUGAAAAGGGAGAUUCGUUUCAUAAAAAAUAAUUUUACCAAACUACCCUUAUCUUCUUCCUUUUUAUUUUCAAUUAAGAUUAAACUUUUCUGUUUUCUAGAGGGAGUCUAUCGGAGAAGCAAGGAACAUUGAACCAUCAAUAUGGUUUGGUUUGAGUGACGUUCCACAUGUGCGUUCGCCAACAAUUCCCUCUGUGCAACUUAAAUUCUCUGAGCAAUAUCCUUAGAAUCUGAAGCUCCUUCAUAGGCAUCUGAGCUUGGCCAAGCGCCUCCAUCGAAAGAGGAAUCCAAACCCAUUAGCAGGAAAAAUGCGAAGAAAGAAGUCGCAAAUCAGGAAGCUAUCUUAGCUGCAGAGAGGUUGGAUCACUUACAUCUGCAUUGAAUGGCAAAUCUGUACGGAUAGGCGAAUGGGCAUAAGCAAUCGAAGCUGUGGGGAAGAACAUGGCCUUGUGAUUGUCCGAGAAAAAAGUUUCACCGUGCAACAUUGACUGCUUGGUUACAAGGAAAGUGAAGGAGAAAGAAAAAUCAAUUAUAUAUUUUUAAAUAAUUUAAAAUUAAAAGAUAUAAAAGGGUAAUUUAGGAAAUUAAAAUAAUAGAGAUGGUAUUGAGCUAAUCUGGUAUUAAACUAGAAAUACUCAUUUGAAAAUAUUUCAAUACGAGAAUUUUUAAUAAUUUUCAAAAAUAUUUCCCCCUUCGAUUUCUAACACCUAUACACAUAGAUAUAUAAUUCUUCCUAUACACUUCAGCUUCAUUUCCUGCCUUAGAAUUAUUUUCUUUUCCCCACAAAAAUGGAAUGUCUUAUGAGUUUUACCAAAUUUAUUUUGUAUGUUUCUUGUUUCUUGCAUGAUUUAAUGUUCGUUUACCAUCUUGAAGCUCAAUCCUGUAGUGUUUGCUGUGGAAGACUGUGAGUUUCCAGCAAUCUUCGAUAUCGGAGAUUCGAAUUCAGUCACAGGUGGGUUAACCUUAUGGGGAGACCUUUUUCCAUCAGCCCGCUGGAAGAUUUUCAGAAGGCCGGCUCAUCAUUGAUUUCAUAGGUGUUAACUCUGCUACAUCUUAUAUUUGGCCUCACUUUUGUUUGUUAACAAGUUUGGCAAGUUCAGAUGCUGGUUGGCAUCAAGGAAUAAAAAAAAUUAACCAAAAAAAAAGACAAUCAUAUUAUAAAGGUCAAUGUUUGACCAAUGUGACUGAAAUGGAUUCUGUUGUAGAGAUGCUUGACAAGGAAACGGAAGUGAUAGGAAUGAAGAGGAAAAGAAACAACAUUUCAUGUCUUCUCAAGAUUCGAAAGCAAGGUUAAUCUACCCCCUCCUAAUACCCGCUUUAGAACAAAGGGGUUGUGGUAUGGCUUGCAUCAUAGUUAUGAUGACUUGCAAUAUGGUAAGGAUGGAGUUGGUGUACUUUAUGCAAAAUUUUGGACUUCAUUAUUGUACUUCAGAAAGGACUUUGACUUACCAUAUAAGUAUAGAUUUUGAUUUAUAAUAUUUUAAAGCCAAAAAUUUUAUUUCCUUGGUUUUCAGUAUUUAAAUGCCGUUGGCUUCUUUUUUUUUUUUUUUUUUGGUAUUCAAUUUUCUCUCCCUCUACUCUCUUUGUCAGUGACUACAAAGAACCUGUACAUUGCGCUAUUCACUUCAAAAUUGGUAACUUUAAAUUUUUUCUUUCAUUUUUCUUGUUUGAUAACUUUUAACUUACUUUCUUCUUGCAGUUCAAUUUUUUUGUGAGUUCAUGAAUUUCAUUAUGCAUGGCAACAAAAUCUGACUUUCCCAAUAGUUUGCACCAAUAAAGUGCUGAAGGACAAUGUGCACUCCCACAAACUGGAUCCUGAAAAUAUCCAUAAAUACUGGUGGAGCAACCUAAGUCAUAAUUAUCCCUCUUCCUGGACAUCUUCUAAUUGCAUCCAACUCUGGUUACUAAACUUGCAACUAAACAUUAAAAAGUAAACAAAUUGCUUUUUCUUAUUUAUACGUUGUUAUCUUAUUUUUCUAUCCAUUUUCAUUUCUCCUUUUCCUGUUUUUUAACAUUUCAUUUUCUAUUCUUAAAAACGGGAUUCAAUGUGUUUAGGAUUUUGGAUAUAUAUAUUUACACAGCUUAAUUAGUUAGGUAUGCAAUUUUAAAACAAUAAUCUAAACACCAAUGAAAAGUUAAAAUAGAAGAUGAUGUUCUUAAGAGUAGUAUUAUCAACUUUAAAAAGGAUACAUAGCUGAUUACAUUAAAUGAUUUGAAUUAUGUUUAUUUCAUAUUUAUCAAUUUUAUUUUCCUUUGUUUAAUUUUAACUAAGAUUUGUCUAUGACUAUGUCAUCUAUAAUUUUGUUUAUUUGAUUCAUAGUGACUUCAUUUUAUGUUUUUCUAAAAAUAUAACAUAACAAAAUGGUUAGAGAAGUAAAGCUAAUCAAGGAUAUUCAAGCUCAACAAAAAUGUUGGACAGUAAAAGUGGUAGUUAUUGAGAAAGGAAUGGCACAUGUUUCUAAAUCAAGUCCAAACAAAUAUCAAAGGUUAAUCUUAGCUGAUGAAGAGGGUAAUAAGAUUCAAGCCACAAUAUAUGGUGAAGACAUUCACAUCUUCUGAGACACACUCGUAAUUGGGAAAAAUUAUUAUAUUUCUAAUGCUUGGGUUAAAGAAAUUGAUGCGCAAUAACAGAUUGUUCAAAAUAAUUGCAAUGGACUAUAAAUGGUCGAACCAUUGUGGAAGAAGUGAUUGGAGAUUCAGAGAUAAUUAUGCCUACUAUUUACAGCUUUGUACCCUUCUCACGACAACACUUAUAUUGAUUCUCUAUCCCAAGUCGUGAUUGAAAUCAAGCCAAAAAAGGAGAUAAUCACGAAUGAUGGUUUAGAGAUUGUCCAAUAGAUGACUUUGAUGAAUGAGAAUGUGGAUAUUGUGAUGCUCACCAUGUGGAACCAAUUUGUGAACAAUGAAUGUACUCAAAUUUUGAAUAUUAUGAAUAGAAAACCAAUCAUAAUUGGAUGUCGACUUAAAGUUAGCUCAUAUAAUGGUAUCUCACUUUCAAGCAAAUCCUCCAGUUCGUUUGUUGUUGAACUGGAUAUACCACAAGCAGCUGCUUUAUCAAUUUGGUAUAAUGCUAAUGCUGAAAAAGCCAUGGAGAUAAUAUAUGGAAGGGUUGGUUUUGAGACAAAUUCAUUGUCGACAUUUCCUUCCGCUGAGGACAUCGUUACCAUUAAGAUAAUAGAUAAUCAACUUAAUACGAGGAGAAGUUUUUGGAUCAAUGAUCAUAUCAAAGUAACAAAUUUGAUUCAACCUUUUGGUACUUAAGCUGUGAAAAAUGCACAAAAGCAAUUGGAUAUGAAUUUGAACAGACGUUUAACUGCUUGUAUUGCAGACAGGAUCAAGUUAAAGCUGUGCCAAAGUUUGCACACAAAUAUUUGUUGUUGUUAUUAUUAUUAUUAUUAUUAUCAUCCUAUUUAUAUCGAAUUUCAAAAUUUCCUUUUCGUGA